rnacentral:rRNA from 1 species
GAUGAACGCUAGCGGGAGGCUUAACACAUGCAAGUCGAGGGGCAGCAUAGGGUAGCAAUACUCUGAUGGCGACCGGCAAACGGGUGAGUAACGCGUAUGCAACCUACCCUGUACAGGGGGAUAACCCGGAGAAAUUCGGACUAAUAUCCCGUAAUAAUAUCCGGAGGCAUCUUUGGAUAUUUAAAGUUCCGACGGUACGGGAUGGGCAUGCGUAACAUUAACUGGUUGGUAAGGUAACGGCUUACCAAGGCUAUGAUGUUUAGGGGUCCUGAGAGGGUGGUCCCCCACACUGGUACUGAGACACGGACCAGACUCCUACGGGAGGCAGCAGUGAGGAAUAUCGGUCAAUGGGCGCAAGCCUGAACCAGCCAUCCCGCGUGCAGGAAGACGGCCCUAUGGGUUGUAAACUGCUUUUCCAGGGAGAGAAACUUACGCACGUGUUGCGUGACUGACGGUACCCUGGGAAUAAGCAUCGGCUAACUCCGUG